GGGCGCUUGGUCUAGGGGUAUGAUUUUCGCUUCGCAUCUUCUGAUCUCACUCAAGAGAUUCAGAUGCCCAUGUGAAAGGUCGUGGGUUCAAUUCCCACAGUGUCCA
rfam:Glomerella graminicola M1.001 genomic scaffold supercont1.72, whole genome shotgun sequence.